AACGGCCAUACCACGUUGAAUACACCGGUUCUCGUCCGAUCACCGCAGUUAAGCAACGUUGGGCAUGGUUAGUACUUGGAUGGAUGA
rnacentral:rRNA from 1 species